GACUAAUCUUAUUUCAUGCCAAUCCUUUCCAAUUCAUAGUUAUAGCCUUUUUUUUAUAAUUUUUAUUUAGUUUGAACAGAGAAAAAAAAAUCCCUGAUGAGGCUCUUCGGCAAGCACGUAUUCCCGAGGCAGAUUGUUCUUCUCGCUUCAGGAUCUAUCAAAUACAACGAGAAACCGCCAACAAGGGAACAGAUUGAUGCACUGCAAUCUUACCUCGAUUCCAAGCGCCCAGUUCCUCCCAAUCAAGAGAAAUUUUAGAUCUUGACCUUGUUAAUUUCUUUUUAUUUCUCCCAGAUUUCUAUCCUGUUUGUUUGUUUAUCGAAUCAUUAGCUUUUGCCCUCAAUUAAUCGGUGAUCGGCUUUGUUGCGUAAUAAAAAAGGCGACAACUUUAGCUUGCCCGCAUCAUGUUUGAUGAUAUUACAAAGAGAAAGCAGUCUUAGCUGAAAGCACGAUCUGAAUGCUUUACAAUAGAAAAGAUUAGAGGAAUCGUGGUGUUUAAUAACUGUUAUUUAUUACUUUUUAUAUUAUAAAUUAUAUAUUUUAUUUCGGCA